UAUUUAAAAAAUGAAGAAAAGUGAAGACGUUACCAACACCAACAAGAAAUGCAUGCAACUUCUAUGAGAGAGCAUGGCGUUACAUCACAGAAGACAUCUUCAUACUCGCAAAGCAUAUGUUGUUGAACUGAAUUUUAGUAAAGUUUCGAAGUAUUACAUUUUUUUUUGUAGUACCAAUACUUGACGAGGUUAUAUUCUACACAUUACACGUGCCCUGCUGCAAUGAUUUAUCCAAAAUUGAAGGAUUCAAUUUAACAAAGCCGCUUGGCCCUGUGUUAUUCGACAGGUCUUUGGAAGCCUGUAAAGGGGCAUGGUACUACGACGUAAAAGUGAUUUAAGGGACUUCGCCACCCAUGUCUCUCAAGAGCUGUAGUUAUAUAUAAGUUAACCGGAAGGUCACACAUUAAAUUACAAGGCCGGAAUCCGAGUGUGGAACAAACAUCCGGACGGGGAGUUCUUGCAAAGAUAGGUGAAAGGGUUUUGAAAGAUAAAGAAGUCUAAUAACAGUUUAGUAAUAAUGAUUUCUGUGAGAGACCUUGAUAAAAUACUUUCAAUGUGGUUUUUUGUUAUCAGAAAUAAAUACAGCUCGAAGUGAGUAGUAAGAAUCGGUUCACAAAAGCAAGCCAUUUGACCGAAUCUCCAGAACGUCAACAGCC